GUGGGGAAUAUUGGACAAUGGGCGAAAGCCUGAUCCAGCCAUGCCGCGUGUGUGAAGAAGGUCUUCGGAUUGUAAAGCACUUUAAGUUGGGAGGAAGGGCAGUAAGUUAAUACCUUGCUGUUUUGACGUUACCGACAGAAUAAGCACCGGCUAACUUCGUGCCAGCAGCCGCGGUAAUACGAAGGGUGCAAGCGUUAAUCGGAAUUACUGGGCGUAAAGCGCGCGUAGGUGGUUUUGUAAGUUGGAGGUGAAAUCCCCGGGCUCAACCUGGGAACUGACUCCAAAACUGCAUGACUAGAGUACGGUAGAGGGUAGUGGAGUUUCCUGUGUAGCGGUGAAAUGCGUAGAUAUAGGAAGGAACACCAGUGGCGAAGGCGACUACCUGGACUGAUACUGACACUGAGGUGCGAAAGCGUGGGGAGCAAACAGGAUUAGAUACCCCGGUAGUCC
rnacentral:rRNA from 1 species